rnacentral:rRNA from 1 species
AGACGGAGGGAGCAAGCGUUGCUCGGAAUUACUGGGCGUAAAGGGCGUCUAGGCGGGACGGUAAGUCGGAUGUGAAAGCCCUGGGCUCAACCCAGGAAGUGCAUUCGAAACUACCGUUCUUGAGUGUGGCAGAGGAGAGCGGAAUUCCCGGUGUAGCGGUGAAAUGCGUAGAUAUCGGGAAGAACACCAGUGGCGAAGGCGGCUCUCUGGGCCACUACUGACGCUGAAGCGCGAAAGCUAGGGGAGCAAACGGGAUUAGAAACCCCAGUAGUCC